AAAAUAAAUUUGAAGUAUGCUUAUGCAUAUUUCUAAUUUACUGUGAACUGUUUUACUGUUUAGCGUUUUGAGGGAUUGCCUAAAGAUUAUAGGGAUAGGUCUUUAGGAUGUUAACCUAGCUAAAGUCAGGCUUAGGCCUGGUAUCCUAAUUCAUUAUUUACCAAAAGAAUUCAGAAUUAAUAUUGUAACAUAAGCGUAAAAAACUUAUAAAACAACUUUUAACAACGGAUCUCUUGGUUCUCGCAUCGAUGAAGAACGUAGCAAAGUGCGAUAACUAGUGUGAAUUGCAUAUUCAGUGAAUCAUCGAGUCUUUGAACGCAUCUUGCGCUCAAUGGUAUUCCAUUGAGCACGCCUGUUUCAGUAUCAACAACAACCCACAUCCACAAUUUUGUUGUGAAUGGAAGUGAGAGUAUCGACGUUAAAAUUGAACUCUUUAAAACUAUUAGGCCUGAACUAUUGUUCUAUUAGCCUGAACAUUUUUUUAAUAUAAAGGAAUGCUCUAGUUAAAAGACUAUCUUGGGGGCCUCCCAAAUAAAUCAUUUUUUUAAACUUGAUCUGAAAUCAGGUGGGAUUACCCGCUGAACUUAAGCAUAUCAAAAGCCGGAGGAA
rnacentral:rRNA from 1 species